AGUGAACGCUGGCGGCAGGCCUAACACAUGCAAGUCGAGCGGCAGCGCGGGGGCAGCCCUGGCGGCGAGCGGCGGACGGGUGAGGGAAUGCAUCGGAAUCUACCCUGUCGUGGGGGAUAACGUAGGGAAACUUACGCUAAUACCGCAUACGACCGAGAGGUGAAAGUGGGGGACCGCAAGGCCUCACGCGAUUGGAUGAG
rnacentral:rRNA from 1 species